AAAAGUGCCUGAAAGGACAAGGCCUCUGGAAUAUUGCAGGUGGGGAUGCCAGAAGUUCUACAAGUGGAGUUCUGAGGCAUUAGCCGGAUGCUCAGCAAAAAGCUUGUGAGAGACAACUACACCCCGGGCACUCAUUAAAAUCCAAGCCAAAUGCAAAGGAAUUGGCAGAAAACUGUGGAUCUUCAGGAGAGUAAGACCUGGACUUUGCUGAAACUUCUGAGCUCUGCUUCAGUCUCCUAGGCGUAAAGACCUGGUCUCUAUGAAGCUCAGUGUCUGUGAGAUGCUACCAUCAUGGCAGCCCCCGUUCAUGUUUCUCUUGCUGACCUAUCCUCUGCAGGGGAAGCCAAGUCUGCUAACGGGGUGGUGCCGUGCAGACACUCAAUGUUGCAGUUAAACCACAUCCCUUAAGAAGGAAACCUAAGAUGGCUGCUCAUUUGAGGUUCUCCAGUGGCCACACCAAUGAUAUGAGUGUGAGUCCACAUGCAGGACGAUUUAACGGCUGUGCAGUCAUGCUCAAAAGG
rnacentral:lncRNA from 1 species